rnacentral:rRNA from 1 species
AUGGCCUCAUUUGCCGCCACCUCCUCCCCCCUCUCCGGCCAGAUCACCGAGCGCCUCACCCGAACCAACUAUAUCCUCUGACGCACCCAGAUCACGCCGCAGCUGAGAGGAGCUGGAGUCUUCGGGUACGUUGAUGGAAGCAUGGCGGAGCCGGCCGAGUUCGUCGUCAGCAAGGACAAGGAUGGAAAGGAGGAAACCAUCCCAAAUCCACUUCACGCCGUCUGGUUCUGCGAGGAUCAGCAGGUACUUGGUUAUCUUGUGAAUAACCUGUCCAAAGAGGUGCUCGUGCAGGUCACCUCCAUCGCGCAUGCACGCGAACUCUGGACGGCGCUAGCGAGCAUAUUCUCGUCGACGUCGCUGUCCCGCAUCAACAACAUCCGC